rnacentral:rRNA from 1 species
AACGAACGCUGGCGGCAUGCCUAACACAUGCAAGUCGAACGAGACCUUCGGGUCUAGUGGCGCACGGGUGCGUAACGCGGGGGAAUCUGCCCGUGGGUUCGGAAUAACAGUGAGAAAUUACUGCUAAUACCGGAUGAUGUCUUCGGACCAAAGAUUUAUCGCCCUGGGAUGAGCCCGCGUAGGAUUAGCUGGUUGGUGGGGUAAUGGCCUACCAUGGCGACGAUCCUUAGCUGGUCGGAGAGGAUGAUCAGCCAGACUGGGACUGAGACACGGCCCAGACUGCUACGGGACGGAGCAGUGGGGAAUACUGGACGCUGGGCGCAAGCGUGAUCCCGCAACGCCGCGUGAGUGAUGAAGGCGUUAGGGUUGUAAAGCCCUUUUACACGGGAUGAUAAUGACAGUACCGGGAGAAUAAGCUCCGGCUAACUCCGUG